rnacentral:rRNA from 1 species
GAUGAACGCUAGCGGCAGGCUUAAUACAUGCAAGUCGUGGGGCAGCGCGGGUAGCAAUACCUGGCGGCGACCGGCAAACGGGUGCGGAACACGUACGCAACCUUCCUUUAACUGGAGAAUAGCCCCGAGAAAUCGGGAUUAAUACUCCGUAACAUAAUGAUGAGGCAUCUCUUUAUUAUUAUAGCUCCGGCGGUUAAAGAUGGGCGUGCGCCUGAUUAGAUAGUUGGCGGGGAACGGCCCACCAAGUCUGCGAUCAGUAACUGGUGUGAGAGCACGACCAGUCACACGGGCACUGAGACACGGGCCCGACUCCUACGGGAGGCAGCAGUAAGGAAUAUUGGUCAAUGGACGCAAGUCUGAACCAGCCAUGCCGCGUGGAGGAUUAA